AGAGCAGGUAUGCAUGUAUGUGUGUGUGUGUGUUAAGAGCAGGUAUGCAUGUAUGUGUGUGUGUGUUAAGAGCAGGUAUGCAUGUAUGUGUGUGUGUGUUAAGAGCAGGUAUGCAUGUAUGUGUGUGUGUGUUAAGAGCAGGUAUGCAUGUAUGUGUGUGUGUGUGUUAAGAGCAGGUAUGCAUGUAUGUGUGUGUGUGUUAAGAGCAGGUAUGCAUGUAUGUGUGUGUGUGUUAAGAGCAGGUAUGCAUGUAUGUGUGUGUGUGUUAAGAGCAGGUAUGCAUGUAUGUGUGUGUGUUAAGAGCAGGUAUGCAUGUAUGUGUGUGUUAUAUAAAGACAGAUUGCGUGGUUUGCUCUCAGUAAGCUCAUUUUAAUUUGAUAUGAAGUGCCAC